rnacentral:rRNA from 1 species
UACGUAGGGGGCAAGCGUUGUCCGGAUUUAUUGGGCGUAAAGAGCGUGUAGGCGGCUUUGCAAGUCCGUUGUGAAAACUCGAGGCUCAACCUCGAGACGUCGGUUGAAACCGCUUGGCUAGAGUCCGGAAGAGGAGAGUGGAAUUCCCGGUGUAGCGGUGAAAUGCGCAGAUAUCGGGAAGAACACCCGUGGCGAAGGCGGCUCUCUGGGACGGUACUGACGCUGAGACGCGAAAGCGUGGGGAGCGAACAGG